GACGAACGCUGGCGGCGUGCCUAACACAUGCAAGUUGAGCGACGAACCAGGGCUUGCCCUGGGGCAAAGCAGCGAACGGGUGAGUAACACGUGGGUAACCUACCCCGAUAACCGGGACAACCCGAGGAAACUCGGGCUAAUACCGGAUGUGCUCACUGGACUUCGGUUCAGUGCGUAAAGGAAGCUUCGGCCUCCGUAUCGGGAGGGGCCCGCGGCCCAUUGGUUUGUUGGUGAGGUAACGGCUCACCAAGACCGCGAUGGGUAGCUGGUCUGAGAGGACGAUCAGCCACACUGGGACUGAGACACGGCCCAGACUCCUGCGGGAGGCAGCAGUGGGGAAUCUUGCGCAAAGCGCGAAAGCGUGACGCAGCAACGCCGCGUGGGGGAAGAAGGCCUUCGGGUUGUAAACCCCUUUCAGGAGGGACGAAGGUUCGGCGGUGAAUAGCCGUCCGGACUGACGGUACCUCCACAAGAAGCCCCGGCUAACUACGUG
rnacentral:rRNA from 1 species